rnacentral:rRNA from 1 species
UACGGGGGGGGCAAGCGUUGUUCGGAAUUACUGGGCGUAAAGGGCUCGUAGGCGGCCAACUAAGUCCGACGUGAAAUCCCCAGGCUUAACCUGGGAACUGCGUCGGAUACUGGAUGGCUUGAAUCCGGGAGAGGGAUGCAGAAUUCCAGGUGUAGCGGUGAAAUGCGUAGAUAUCUGGAGGAAUACCGGUGGCGAAGGCGGCAUCCUGGACCGACAUUGACGCUGAGGAGCGAAAGCUAGGGGAGCAAACGGGG